rnacentral:rRNA from 1 species
GACGAACGCUGGCGGCGUGCUUAACACAUGCAAGUCGAACGGUAAGGCCCUUCGGGGUACACGAGUGGCGAACGGGUGAGUAACGCGUGAGUAACCUGCCCUUCACUCUGGGAUAACAGUUGGAAACGGCUGCUAAUACCGGAUAUUCAGCUCCUUUCGCAUGGUGGGGGUUGGAAAGUUUUGGUGGUGGAGGAUGGGCUCGCGUCCUAUCAGCUUGUUGGUGGGGUGAUGGCCUACCAAGGCGUCGACGGGUAGCCGGCCUGAGAGGGCGACCGGCCACAUUGGGACUGAGAUACGGCCCAAACUCCUACGGGAGGCAGCAGUGGGGAAUAUUGCACAAUGGGCGGAAGCCUGAUGCAGCAACGCCGCGUGCGGGAUGACGGCCUUCGGGUUGUAAACCGCUUUCAGCAGGGACGAAGCGCAAGUGACGGUACCUGCAGAAGAAGCACCGGCUAACUACGUG